rnacentral:tRNA from 2 species
GCCCUGGUAGCUCAGCCAGGAUAGAGCGGCGGCCUCCUAAGCCGUAGGUCGUGGGUUCGAAUCCCACCCGGGGCG